GUGUUCACUUUGGCAGCACAUAUACUAAAAUUGGAACAAUACAGCUACGAUUAGCACGGCCCCUGUGCAAGGAUGAUGUGCAAAUUCAUGAAGCAUGCCAUAUUUUU